AUUGAACGCUGGCGGCAGGCCUAACACAUGCAAGUCGAGCGAGAGGCGGACGGGUGAGUACUGUCUGGGAAACUGCCUGAUGGCAGGGGAUAACUACUGGAAACGGUAGCUAAUACCGCAUACCAUCAGAUGUUCCCAGAUGGGAUUAGCUAGUAGGUGGGGUAAUAGCUCACCUAGGCGACGAUCCCUAGCUGGUCUGAGAGGAUGACCAGCGACACUGUAAUGGAGACACGGUCCAGACUCCUACGGGAGGCAGCAGUGGGGAAUAUUGCACAAUGGGCGAAAGCCUGAUGCAGCAAUGCCGCGUGUGUGAAGAAGGCCUUCGGGUUGUAAAGCGCUUUCAGCGGGGAGGCGUUACCCGCAGAAGAAGCACCGGCUAACUCCGUGCCAGCAGCCGCGGUAAUUC
rnacentral:rRNA from 1 species